ACCCAGGAGUCUCCCAAGCACUGGCUCAACCGGCUAGAGCGCGAGCAGCCAGCCAGCCGCUGGGAGACGCUGCCCAGGUCCCAUGGCUUAGCACCUCAAGACUGAAUGGUACCUGUGGGCCAGCUUUUGUUCAAGGCUGCUCUGUGAAGUCUAGAUACUGAGGACGGUCUCGAGACAUUGAGGGGCAUGGUCUAGCAGCUCAGUCAAGCCUGUGCAUCAUCUGAUCCCCAGCAGUUCUGGUCCCCCUUGGCCUCUACUUGGCUCUAGGUUUAGUCUCCACUGCCAGCUGCCAUGGGCAAGCAGAACAGCAAACUGCGGCCUGAGGUGCUGCAGGACCUGCGGGAACACACAGAGUUCACUGACCAUGAGCUGCAGGAGUGGUAUAAG
rnacentral:lncRNA from 1 species